UUCAAUAUAAUUUCUUUGACCUUUUUUUUUCUUCAUUAGCAAUGUGGGACUUACAUUGCGAUCAAUCCCAACAAUUUUGUCAAGGGGGGUACCAUAAGAUCAAGACUUCAUUUAUGCUAAUCAAUCCUUUUACCAGAAUAAAGAAGAUAAUCAAUGCAGCACCCUCCUUUGAAACUUCCACUAUUCUUUAUUCCAUGCGUGUAUUGCUUGCUUUUAGCAAAUGCUCUAAGGAAUUUGUUUUUGUGGUUUUAUGCACACAAACCAACUAUUUGCGUGUCUAUCAAUCUCGAAACUGUGGUUGGGUUACUUUUUCUUCGAAGAUUGGAAAUCAAGAGUGG
rnacentral:lncRNA from 1 species